CCGGUAGUGGUUAUGGGGGCUGGAGGCGUAAGAUGAUUGUUGCUUUAUAUGCUAAAAACAAAAUCGGAUUUGUUGAUGGUUCAUGUCCUCGUCCUACCACUAAUGUGGCUCAACAGAGACUGUGGGAUAGAUGUAAUAACAUGGUCAUUUCCUGGCUGACCUCCUCCCUGUCUCCUCAAAUUGCCACUUGCUCCCGACCAGCCACUAAUGUGGAUUAACAAAGAUUAUGGGAUAGGUGUAAUAACAUGGUGAUUUCCUAGUUAACUGCCUCCCUCUCCCCUCAAAUUGCUGAAAGUGUGCAGUAUUCUGAUACUGCACAGAGCAUAUGGUCCCAACUCUAGGCCAGAUAUGGCACUACAAACAGGACUAAAAUCUUUGAAUUGAAAAGACACCUCCCAAGGAUCCUUAGAUGUAGCUUCAUAUUUUAAUAAGCUCAAAGGUCUGUGGGAUGAACUAGAAUCAAUGUGUGUUAAUCAUGGUCAAAGAUGUGUUUGUGCUGCCAAAGAUGGUAUAAUACAGGAAAGUGAUGACUAGAAUCAAUGUGUGUUAAUCAUGGCCAAAGAUGUGUUUGUGCUGCCAAAGAUGGUAUUAUACAGGAAAGUGAUGAAAAUAAGGUGUUUCUGUUUCUAAUGGGUCUUAAUGAAGCAUACAUGGGAGUAAGGAGUAAUCUUUUGAUGAUGCAGCCUCCUCCAACCCUUGACAAUGUCUAUAAUAUGGUCCUCAAUGAUGAGAAGCAAAGACAAGUCUAGUCUUGCAGCCUCCUCCAACCCUUGACAAUGUCUAUAAUAUGGUCCUCAAUGAUGAGAAGCAAAGACAAGUCCAGUAUCCUUCUCACUUUAAUCCAGACUCUGUCUCUUUCAAUGUCCACACUAAUAGGCAUUCAGUUGGAUUUAACAAGGCCACAGUGCCUAAUCCUUCUCCUCCUUUCAGACAAAGAGUCAAUUUUGAUCAAGCCAGAUGACCUUUAGUCUGUAGAUACUGUAAAAAAUCUGGACACUUAAUUGAUAAGUGUUUCAAGAUCCAUGGGUAUCCACGAAGUACAAAUUUUAACAAGGGGAGGAGACCUGCUACUGCUCAUCUUACUGCUGGUCUGGAUUUCUCUCAUUCUGAAGGACAUAUGUUUGUUCCCCAAGGGAAUCCUCCUGAAAGCCAUCAAUCUGUUCCAAAAAUAGAUGGCCAGAGUUC
rnacentral:lncRNA from 1 species